rnacentral:rRNA from 1 species
CCUACGGGGGGCUGCAGUGGGGAAUAUUGGACAAUGGGGGCAACCCUGGUCCAGCCAUGCCGCGUGUGUGAAGAAGGCCCUCGGGUUGUAAAGCACUUUCAGUGAGGAAGAACGCCUGGUGGUUAAUACCCAUCAGGAAAGACAUCACUCACAGAAGAAGCACCGGCUAACUCCGUGCCAGCAGCCGCGGUAAUACGGAGGGUGCGAGCGUUAAUCGGAAUUACUGGGCGUAAAGCGCGCGUAGGUGGCUUGAUAAGCCGGUUGUGAAAGCCCCGGGCUCAACCUGGGAACGGCAUCCGGAACUGUCAAGCUAGAGUGCAGGAGAGGAAGGUAGAAUUCCCGGUGUAGCGGUGAAAUGCGUAGAGAUCGGGAGGAAUACCAGUGGCGAAGGCGGCCUUCUGGACUGACACUGACACUGAGGUGCGAAAGCGUGGGUAGCAAACAGGAUUAGAUACCCUUGUAGUC